rnacentral:rRNA from 1 species
GACGAACGCUGGCGGCGUGCUUAACACAUGCAAGUCGAACGGAAAGGCCCUGCUUGCAGGGUACACGAGUGGCGAACGGGUGAGUAACACGUGGGUGAUCUGCCCUGCACUUCGGGAUAAGCCUGGGAAACUGGGUCUAAUACCGGAUAGGAGCCAUCUUUAUGGUGAUGGUUGGAAAGUUUUUUCGGUUUAGGAUGAGCCCGCGGCCUAUCAGCUUGUUGGUGGGGUAAUGGCCUACCAAGGCGGCGACGGGUAGCCGGCCGGGGAGGGUGGACGGCCACAUUGGGACUGGGAUACGGCCCAGACCCCUACGGGGGGAGGAGGUGGGGAAAAUUGCACAAUGGGCGCAAGCCUGAUGCAGGGAGGCCGCGUGGGGAAUGACGGCCUUCGGGUUGUAAACUCCUUUCGCUAGGGACGAAGCUUUUUGUGACGGUACCUAGAUAAGAAGCACCGGCUAACUACGUG